rnacentral:piRNA from 1 species
UGCUAAACUUAGUUCUUCUGGAGAG